rnacentral:tRNA from 1 species
CGUGUUGGGCCUGUGGUUUAGGGGUAUAAUACCCGCUUCGCAUGCGGGGGGUCCCGGGUUCAAUUCCCGGCGGGUCCACG